rnacentral:lncRNA from 1 species
UUUUGAAACUUCUAAUAAGAUGUGUUCACGGUGGAAACGAGAAACUACCUUAUAAGGAUAUGAGAGACGGGAAAGCAGGAAGCGGCUUUGACAAAACUAAGGAAGUUGCAGCGCGCUUGCUCACUGGGGGACUUUUUUGAGGCAAGAGAAGUAACACAUGACAUCCUUCUUUCUCGAAUUAAAAUGAGACUGGGUUCAGCGGUACAAACGCACAGGGAGACGGCAAUGACUGGGAGUGGAGUCGUACUGGAGGAGGCAAUAAAGACAAGAUAACAAGUCACCUAAAUACUGAGAAUGAGAGGAGGAAUCAGAGUAACAGCCAUGUUUUCCAGAAUUCCACUCUCCUGUAGCCUUUUGGCGAUGGCUGGCUUCUGUGACUAGAACUGACCCAAACAUCAACAUACUGCAACACUGCAAAGCAAAACCACACAGGAAAGUACAUGGAGUCAGCUCUUCCAUCUCCUUCCGCAGCAUCUUAUCCUCUGCCUGAAGCCAUGGUCUAGUCUCCCUGCCCUAAUAAAACAAAGAUGGGGAGAGGUGGGUCAGAGGAUACAAGUAACAGGUACGUAUGAAUGAUGCUACUGCUCCAAAGUAAGACAUGAGGAAUAAAAUUGCACUGUAUAUGGAAUCCAG